AAUAGAUACCCGGGUAGUCCACGCCGUAAAACGAUGAGUGCUAAGUGUUAGAGGGUUUCCGCCCUUUAGUGCUGCAGCUAACGCAUUAAGCACUCCGCCUGGGGAGUACGGUCGCAAGACUGAAACUCAAAGGAAUUGACGGGGGCCCGCACAAGCGGUGGAGCAUAUGGUUUAAUUCGAAGCAACGCGAAGAACCUUACCAGGUCUUGACAUCCUCUGACAACUCUAGAGAUAGAGUGUUCCCCUUCGGGGGACAGAGUGACAGGUGGUGCAUGGUUGUCGUCAGCUCGUGUCGUGAGAUGUUGGGUUAAGUCCCGCAACGAGCGCAACCCUUGAUCUUAGUUGCCAGCAUUUAGUUGGGCACUCUAAGGUGACUGCCGGUGACAAACCGGAGGAAGGUGGGGAUGACGUCAAAUCAUCAUGCCCCUUAUGACCUGGGCUACACACGUGCUACAAUGGAUGGUACAAAGGGCUGCAAGACCGCGAGGUCAAGCCAAUCCCAUAAAACCAUUACUCAGUUCGGA
rnacentral:rRNA from 1 species